UACGUAGGGUCCGAGCGUUGUCCGGAAUUAUUGGGCGUAAAGGGCUCGUAGGCGGUUUGUCGCGUCGGGAGUGAAAACUCAGGGCUCAACCCUGGGCGUGCUUCCGAUACGGGCAGACUAGAGGUAUGCAGGGGAGAACGGAAUUCCUGGUGUAGCGGUGGAAUGCGCAGAUAUCAGGAGGAACACCGGUGGCGAAGGCGGUUCUCUGGGCAUUACCUGACGCUGAGGAGCGAAAGCAUGGGGAGCGAACAGG
rnacentral:rRNA from 1 species